UGGGGACGAACGUUCGAAAGGAACGCUAAUACCGCAUACGUCCUACGGGAGAAAGCAGGGGACCUUCGGGCCUUGCGCUAUCAGAUGAGCCUAGGUCGGAUUAGCUAGUUGGUGAGGUAAUGGCUCACCAAGGCGACGAUCCGUAACUGGUCUGAGAGGAUGAUCAGUCACACUGGAACUGAGACACCGGUCCAGACUCCUACGGGAGGCAGCAGGU
rnacentral:rRNA from 1 species